UACGUAGGGUGCGAGCGUUAAUCGGAAUUACUGGGCGUAAAAGCGUGCGCAGGCGGUUUUUGUAAGCCAGAUGUGAAAAUCCCCCGGGCUCAACCUGGGGACGCCACUCGAUACUGCUGCGGCUAGAGUCCAGUAGAGGAGUGUGGAAUUCCCGGUGUAGCGGUGAAAUGCGCAGAUAUCGAGAGGAACACCUGCGGCGAAGGCGGGUUGCUGGGCUGAU
rnacentral:rRNA from 1 species